rfam:Wallemia ichthyophaga EXF-994 unplaced genomic scaffold scaffold3, whole genome shotgun sequence.
GCUUCAGUGGCUCAAUGGUAGAGUAUUGGACUUCUAGUAUCAUCGAAGGGUUCAAACCGAGUUGAACUAGCCAUCCAAAGGUUGCGGGUUCGAGCCCCGUCUGAAGUA